GUAGGUAGCAAGCGUUGUCCGGAAUUAUUGGGCGUAAAGCGCGCGCAGGCGGUUCUUUAAGUCUGAUGUGAAAGCCCACGGCUCAACCGUGGAGGGUCAUUGGAAACUGGAGAACUUGAGUACAGAAGAGGAAAGCGGAAUUCCACGUGUAGCGGUGAAAUGCGUAGAGAUGUGGAGGAACACCAGUGGCGAAGGCGGCUUUCUGGUCUGUAACUGACGCUGAGGCGCGAAAGCGUGGGGAGCAAACAGGGAUUAGAUACCCUGGUAGUCCACGCCGUAAACGAUGAGUGCUAAGUGUUAGGGGGGUUUCCGCCCCCCUUAGUGCUGCAGCUAACGCAUUAAGCACUCCGCCUGGGAGUACGGCCGCAAGGCUG
rnacentral:rRNA from 1 species